rnacentral:rRNA from 1 species
UACGGGGGAUGCAAGCGUUAUCCGGAUUUAUUGGGUUUAAAGGGUGCGUAGGCUGUGAGGUAAGUCAGCGGUGAAAUGUCGGGGCUCAACCCCGGCCUGCCGUCGGAACUGGGUGCCUUGAGUGGGCGAGAAGUAUGCGGAAUGCGUGGUGUAGCGGUGAAAUGCAUAGAUAUCACGCAGAACCCCGAUUGCGAAGGCAGCAUACCGGCGCCCAACUGACGCUGAAGCACGAAAGCGUGGGUAUCGAACAGG